UUAUAUGGUGGCCAUGCGUGGGGCUCCUUCGGGGGCGCCGGGGGUUCGCUGUCUUGACCGGUCUACCAACCCACGUAUGGCCGCCACCCUU
rnacentral:antisense_RNA from 1 species